GACGAACGCUGGCGGCGUGCCUAAUACAUGCAAGUUGAGCGCUGAAGGUUGGUACUUGUACCAACUGGAUGAGCAGCGAACGGGUGAGUAACGCGUGGGGAAUCUGCCUUUGAGCGGGGGACAACAUUUGGAAACGAAUGCUAAUACCGCAUAAAAACUUUAAACACAAGUUUUAAGUUUGAAAGAUGCAAUUGCAUCACUCAAAGAUGAUCCCGCGUUGUAUUAGCUAGUUGGUGAGGUAAAGGCUCAUCAAGGCGAUGAUUCAUAGCCGACCUGAGAGGGUGGACGGCCACAUUGGGACUGGGACCCGGCCCAAGGUGCUUCGGGAGGCGGCAGUAGGGAAUCUUCGGCCAUGGACGAAAGUUUUUCCGAGCAACGCCGCGUCAGUGAAGAAGGUUUUCGGCUCGUAAAACACGGUUGGUAGAGAAGAACGUUGGUGAGAGUGGAAAGCUCAUCAAGUGACGUUAACUGCUCAGAAAGGGACGGCUAACUACGUG
rnacentral:rRNA from 1 species